AUUGAACGCUGGCGGCAGGCUUAACACAUGCAAGUCGUGCGGGGGAAGGUAGCUUGCUACCGGACCUAGCGGCGGACGGGUGAGUAAUGCUUAGGAAUCUGCCUAUUAGUGGGGGACAACAUCUCGAAAGGGAUGCUAAUACCGCAUACGUCCUACGGGAGAAAGCAGGGGAUCUUCGGACCUUGCGCUAAUAGAUGAGCCUAAGUCGGAUUAGCUAGUUGGUGGGGUAAAGGCCUACCAAGGCGACGAUCUGUAGCGGGUCUGAGAGGAUGGUCGGCCAAACUGGGACUGAGGCACGGCCCAGACUCCUACGGGAGGCAGCAGGGGGGAAUAUUGGACAAUGGGGGGAACCCUGAUUCAGCCAUGCCGCGUGUGUGAAGAAGGCCUUAUGGUUGUAAAGCACUUUAAGCGAGGAGGAGGCUACUCUAGUUAAUACCUAGGGAUAGUGGACGUUACCCGCAGAAUAAGCACCGGCUAACUCUGUGCCAGCCGCCGCAGUAA
rnacentral:rRNA from 1 species